AGGCCGGGCGCCGCCGCCGCUGAGGCCCCGCCCCGCGCCGCUGCCCGGCCGGGAGGGGGCGGUGGCGGCGGGUGAGUGACCCCGCGUUUGCCCCCGCAUCUCCCCUCGCCCCGCAUCUCCCCCUGCCCCGCAUCUGCCCCUGCCUGAGGGGACAGUAACGGGAUCCUCCUUGGAGUUGCUCAGUCCGUGGGUCGCCCGUGGCCACGACAUCCCUUCCGCGGAAGAGCGACCUGUUGGAGUGAGUCCAGAGGAGGCCACAAAGAUGCCCAGAGGGCUGGAGAACCUCUCCUACGAACACUAAAAGAGUUGGAGCUCUUCAGCCUGGAGAAGAGAAGGUUCUGGGGACACUUUAAAGCAGCCUUCCAGUACCCAGAAUGAAGUUAUAAGAAAGAAGCAGAUCAAACUGUUGAGCUUGGAAGGAAGAACCAAAAACUGCUCUGGAUGCUGGAAAGAAGCAGAGACCCAAGUGAAGUGUCAAAGCAUGGGUGAAUCAGGAUAUGACAGAGAGAAGUGGAGGAACUUGCAAAAAUUUCCUAAGAGGAUGGAGAAAAGUGGAUGAGCAAUGAAGCAGGAGGAGGCCAUGUUCCAGAAAGCCAAGAGUAGCCCUUUUAUCCUCUCUCCCAUAUUUUUCCAAUAAUGGUGUGAAAGGAAGAGCACAAUCAGCCUAAGCCAUUUUUAUGAACUGACUUGUUCAGUCAUUUUCCUUUGGCUAACCAACAAGAAAUAGAUAUAUGCUUGCAAAUCCAUCUGUUCCUGAUGACCAGAAGUGGUGGGUAGCUACACAGAUAAUCCAGAUGUCUUUCUGACACACUUUUGACUGAGCAGAAUUUUUGUUAAUUCAGCAAGUUUAUGCCCUUAGAUCUGGGGAAAGGAGAAGGAGAGGAAAAAAGCAUGACUUUAAUGGUUCAGUAAGAACCAGUGAUAGAACUGGUAUGACACGUUUCUGUCCUUAGCUGAGCAUUAUGAAGUUCCACUCACUUCAAUUUAUAUUCUGGAUUAGCCCAAAAUGGCCUCUUGAUGGGAGUUUUCCCCCUUUUAAAGGCUGCAAUAUUAUUUUUCCUCUUAAUGCCCCACAUCUGGUUGCAUGAAAAGAGGAAUUCAUCGUGUGAACAACUGGAUGCCAUUUCCCACAUGGUGUAAAAAAUUAAUGGUUUGAAGGUGCUAGAGGGCUUGGCCCCUGCCUGAUUAAUUUUUUGAGUCACCCCAUAAAUUAGUUCUUAAGAAAUUAAAUGCCAUUGUCCAUCAUCCCUGGGAGAUAAUCCAUAGCUGAUCUGGACAGAGGAGCAAAGGAGAAAGAUCAAGAGUCAUCUGUCCAUAUCAAAAUCAUAUCUUAACAACUUUCUUGUGUUUGAAUUCACUGAAAUUUCAACUAUAAUUCAUCCGAGACACCUCCAAGAUACUUUUGUCUCCUAUUGUUGUUAGAGGAGAUGAUUAAUGAAUCUCGGCUUGUUAUGUAAAAGUGAAUAAAGCAUUUGUUUCUUGACUUAUGUAAGGAGCAAGGGAGCUAUCAUAACUUGCACAAACCAUAUGGUUCUCAAGUGCAUUUCUAUCUUGUACAUUUUUCACUUUUAAUGAAGUCCAGAUCAACUGUUUGUCUGUCAAAUGUUCUUGCUCACUUGACACAGGCCUACAGUUCUAGUGCAAUUUCCUUUUUUUAAGCAGAUUCAAAAUCCCCAGUCACUCUUUCCCCUUGCAGAUAAAUAGGUUGUUUGUUUCUAGUUCUCUUAGUAUUGUCACAUUAAUCUAAGUGUAUAAGUAAGACUCCAAAACUCCUGCGCAUUUCAUGGCUCCAAGCUCUAGCUAGGUUGCUAUCAAGUUUAUUAGCUGCCUCAGCUUAAGCAAGACCUUACUUUCUGUCUCUGUCCCAUUUUCACACAUUUUUUUGAAGGACUUUUCCCUAAGUGCUGGUGAUGCUUAUUCCAGGAUUACUUUAUAUUUCAAGCAAUCCUCCUGACUGUGACUAAUUUUGUCACAGUAGAAGCAUUUACCUCAAUUUCUUCUUUCUAUUUUUUCUGAGUGCCAGCUUCCUGGUUUUAACCAAUUUUAACACUUCUUUCCAGCUGCCUCAAGCACCAUAAAACAAAUGAGAAUCCCUCUUUUUCACCCAGCUUGGCACAGCCCUGUGCUUACAGUGUUGGCUGUAAUGAGGUCCCAUACUCCUUACUCUUACAGGAGUUUCCUCUUCUCUUGCCAGUGCAAAUACUGUGAUGAAUAUCCCAGGCUUCUCAAACCAAACUUGUCUCGACUCCCACACUGAACUCUACAGCCUGUCUCCAGCUACAUUUGCCUGUUAAACUACACACAAUCCCUCUGUCACUCCCUAGGCCAAUACACCUCAGGCUGGCCUGAAACUGCCCCACUCAUCCCUGUACAGAAAAAAGCCAGCUGUGUCCCACUGUAAGAUGUACUGCUAAAAGCACAGUCAAACACUCAAACAGGUCGCCUCAGAGGCCAAACCCCCGGGCAUCUCUCCCAGACCAUGUACUUGGUGCUGUUGGACACAUGCACUGCUGCUCAGUCAAGCCUUGAAAGACGCAUGCCCUGAACCUGAGCUGGCUCUUCAUGGAUCAGAAAAAAGGUGCUGCUGAUGCUCAAAUACAGCUGAGCAUUUAUUAGUUGCUCCAAUCUGAGAUGCCCCAUAUACACUACAUACAUAUGGAUACAUGAAGGGUGCAGGGCUGCUCACAUGCCCCAUUGUUGUCAGGGGGUCACGUCUCUCUGUUCUAGCACACUGACGUCGCUCAGCAUCGCAGGGACAUAACCAACCUAUCCCACCUUUGAUGUUCAGUGUGAACAGAUGCAAACAGGCAAAUAUUUUCAAAGAAUGAAAAGGAAAUGGCUUUGAUUUUCUAAUCAAGCAUCGAUUGCCUAAUGUCACUAACAUUGAAUGCAAGGGUGUUUUUUCAGCCUUAGAGUAUUCUUUCUUUUUUCAAGCAGUCUGAUCUAGUCAAAAGAUGAACAAACAAGUAAUGACAAGUUUUUACCAGGAACAAAAUAAAAGACCAUAUCAUGCAUAGUCUGCUAAAAAUGACUUUAUUUUUUCCUCUAAGAGUGGGAAUUCUACUUGAAAAAUAUUUCAGAAUUUGUGCCUGUAUGAAUUAGAAUUAACUUAUUUACCCACAGAGCCCUUUCCACACAGGGUCAAAUAACUAACAACAUAAUUUGUCUUUUCUUUGAUCAAAGUUUAAUCAAACAGUAACCAUGGGGAUGUGAGGAUAUAAAGGCAAAAAAAUCAAACACCAUGAAUAAUGCCUCUUAAUAGAGAUUCAGCAACCAUAAAAAAAUAAAUAGACUGUCACUGUUUCUAGGUUCCUUGAUCCAAACAGAAGAAAACACAAGAUUUUACUUGCAUUGCUAACGUCACAAGAUUGCAACUAGAAGAAUACCUGGACAUUUGAUGUUGUAUAGGAAUUAUUAUUUUUGCCUAAUUGCUGUGUUCUUCUGGAAGAGUGAAAGAUCAUCCUCACAAAUCCAGUCCACAAAGCUGCUCUGCAAAUCAUUCAUCUAGCAGAAAGGCUGCUGCGAAAAUGCAAGGGCAGAGCAAGCUGUCCUGGGCUUAACACAGCAGUUGAUGGUGAUCCUCUCCCAAGAAAACAUUACUGCCUGCAAAACCCCUCAGCAUAACAGGUACACUCCGUGAUGCAAGAGCAACCUGACUCUUGGUGAUUCUUUUGUCAAUAAGAUGAAAAUGUAGCAGAUCAGACUCUGCUUCCAAAUGAACUUGUGCACAAGGGAGCUUACUUUCAUCCUACAAUUGGUUGUUAAUUAGCCUCCUCACCCCUGGCAGCAGCUCGCUCCUGACUUCUGGGAAGACCUGGGAUUUAUUCCCGGACAGGAAAGCUGAGGGUGAACCACCAAGGAGUCACAACACAGUUUCUGCCUCUCCCAGAGGAGCAAAGAAGUUAUCCUGAGGCACUCUUUCCCCUUGGAACAUGUGAGACAAACAGCAUGGAGGAGACCCAAGGCUGAUAAAGCAUCUCUAUGUAUAUUUCUCUCCAAAUGCUCUCCCAGCAGUGUUUUCUGUAGCACUGUCCUGAUGCACUAAGGUGUGGAUGUUGCAGUUACAGGACAGGAGGGUGCUGAGGCAGAAUAAGCACAUACUGCCCUGCUGAGCUUCUUUGGAGAUGAAACAGCCAGCUGCAACUGGAGGACUAACUUGGGUGAACUUGGCCUGAGAAAAGAAACUAUGCUUUGGCAGGACUGCAGGUUGCUAUUUCAAGAGCAGAAGUAGACUUUGGAGUAAAGUUCACUGUGUAAAUGAGUUAUGGGUAACAUUUUAAUUGAUUAUGUAAAGUAACCCAAAAGUACAAGCUGAGAGCCAGAGCACAGUUCUCUGGGAUCAGUCCCAGGGAUUCCCUCUGUAAUCGAUACCUCCUUAACAUCUCAGCCCUUCUUUAUAGUAACAAUACCUACUUUCUUUAAAUCCCUAAUUUUCCUAAUUUUUUCUGUUCUUUUUUGUUAAUUAAAAAUCCUGGCUAGUUUGCAUCAGUCUUCAGCUAAUUUUCCAAGUGUUCCUCCUGAGUUUUCUAUCUUUUCUGCAUCCCCACCUCUAUGAUCCACUUUCUCUCUGUACAUCAGUCUUCUGAAACCUUGCUGAUAUUCAUUCAUGUUUGUUCAUAACUGUCCAACAAGCUCUCACAAUAAUACUCAGUGGUUUGGAACUUCCAAAUCCUUUCAGGGGAUUCAAGAUAUCAGCUUUCCAUACAUUUUUUUCAAGUUUUCUUCUGAGCCUUCAGCUUUGUGCAUGAGAAUAACCAACAAUAUUAUGAUGUCAUUUUAUUAGAAAAAGCUCACUAAGGGACUGCACACAGUAGAUACUCUGAACAUGUGUAGGGUAGCUCUAACCAAGAAUUUCCUAGCAAAUCUGCAUCUCUGUGGAGAUGUAGACUGCUUAGGCUAUCAAGUGCUUUAGCAAUCUGCUCAUUACAUCGUCACAUCCUACCAGAGAUGAGGGAGAACUCAGUUCUGCUGACUUGCAGCUUCCAGAGCAGCCAUAGCGAAAGGUCAACAGCUGAACGCUGUGGGCCUUGGGACCAAGGACUCUGUCUGUCACCUGUGUUACUUGUUGGAUUGCUAAAGAAAACCCCCAGCAGCCAUGUCAGCAGGCUUAUGCCACACGUUGGACAUGCAGGUUACCUUGUUCUUGCCUUCUUCAACCCCUGCAGCUCAGGCAUCACCCUGCCUCCACCAGAUGCCACUGGGGCCUCUUCACCAAGGUAAAUCACUUUCCAGCAAGGCACUCUCCAGCCCCGUAGAGUACCAUGUCCAGGUACCACCCCUCUCUGGAUACAAGGUGUCCAGGUACCACCCCUCUCUGGAUACAAGGUAUCCAGGGCUUCCCAAACUCCAUGGUGCAUUUCUGCUCGUAUCUGUGAUGGACUUGACCUGUACAACACAGCCUGGACGCACUUCCACAGCGUCUGCAAACAUGCAGAGUAUCCGGCACUGGCACGGGCAUGGUGAUGAGUCCUUGGGCCCACCUUCCUCCUGGAUAGGGUGGACCACCAAGAACUCAUUUUUCCUCCCUCUAUUCAUGUUAAUUGUUUCACCUGGUCUCAGCAUCCUGUGGUUUAUGGACCCAAAUGCCCCUCCCUGCCUCCAUGUUGGGCUUCUCUAUAUCCUGCUUGUAACCAUGGGACUGAGUUAUGUGCUGCAUAAUGUGCAGCAACCUGUUCAUGUGAAUUGGCCUGGCACACAAUGCUCCUAGCAGCUGUUUAAUGCUUCUUGACUGGAUGUCUUGCUAAUCGCAUUCUGAACAGCUUUUAAGCCUUCUUCUAUGUCCUCCCACUGAGAACUAUUAAUGCCCACCCAUAACCUCUGCUUCUGGGCCCUUGCUUUCUGCUUCUCCUCCCACCAGUCCCUCCAGCACAGAGGUCCCAGGCUGACAUCCUCUCUAGCAUCCCUAACCUCUCUCUUUCCCUCCACUUUGUAACAUUUUCCCUUUUGGGUUGCCAAAUUGUCUCCCUGCCCCCAAUACCAUCUCAUCCACUGAUUACUUAAAACUCACGCAUCACUUCUGUCACCAUUUCCAUAUGAAAGCGUACAGUUUCUGUGACAAAGCUGUCAUGGCAAUUUGUCAGGUUUUCACAUUAUACAUAACCUGCAAAACUGCAUAUUAUUAAACAUCUUCUGAUGCUCCCAAUUACUUAAAAAAUAUUCCAUUGCCAAAUCCCACUGCUCUAUUCAGUCAACAUUUGUCAUCUGGAAGAAAACUUCCACAUCAAAUUGCUGUUGCUUCAGGGCAUUGAUGAAGGAGGGUGCUCUUCUGUCAUGCCUGCAGCAGACUUUGAGUAGAUCAAAGCCUCUAAUACUUUUCUGCCUUGGCUGGUGGAUGGACUUAAGAACCGCAGUAGGACGGGCCACUAGGGAACACAAUCACUUCCACAUACAUCUUAAAAAAUUCCUCAAAAAUGUCACACAAUAGCUGUUGUCAAUAUUUUUGAAGGGCACUCCUCGUUAACAUAUACAUUUUGGCCAACUACAGUCAAACAAAUGCAUGCUGAUGAUAGAUCUAGACACAAAUCAGAUAAUCCAUAAAACCAACCUGAAACUCAGGUAGGUACUGACAAUCCCACACUCACCUCCUUGGAGCACACAGAAGUGCUACAUAAGCCGGGCAGAGCCAGGUAUUUCGUACACAUCUGUGCUGCUGUAGAGACUCUUCAUUCACUAAUUUCAUCUCCCAUUUCAUUUGACUUACAAACACCUAUUCUGAAUCUGGCUCAGCCUCCCAUUAUCAGCAGAUGGAUUUUGCUUACUUUUUAUUAGGCAAUGAGGCUUAGGUGCGGGAGAACAUUUUAUUUCCUUUCUGAUUUUAACUUCAAGUGUAAGCACAUGCAAGUAUUUUUCCAUCUGUUACCUGAUUUUCUUCUUCACAAGCUUCAGACUUUAGUGGAACUACUUCAUCUUGAAAAAAAUUCUUGCUCUAAGAAAGAAUACUGAGACUGCUCAGGCUUUUCCCUAUGGAAAGAUGAAAGGUUUAGUCAGGAAUAAUGCAUUGACUGAUUUCCAAUUUUUAAAUUCCCCAUUUUUUAAUUCCCAAGAAACCUUUUUCUUGUACAAAACCUAUAUUAAUAAGUUAAUAGUUAAUGAAUCAAUUUUCAAGAAUUAAAAUUUAAAAUUGCUUAAUAAAUAGUUUAAUAAAGUGAUACAUCAACUUGCUUUUUCUUCUCUACAUGUAGAGUGACUUCUGGUUUAUUCCUUUUUUUGAUGAAAAAUCACAUUUGCUGUGCAUUUUCUGAACAACUUCUGCCAUUAUAUUUUGUAUUUGAACCUAUUGGGAUAUUCUGGGAUAAAAAUCCUAUGGGAAGGAAAAAAUACGUUGAAAAAUUUGUACCUGUUUCUAGAUUUAGGUCAGGCAGUACAACAUACAUUGCCUUCCCACAACCAUUCAAUCUCCACCAAGCUCAGCAGCAUCCUGAGGUUCUUCUUUGGCAUUAUCAAGGAGACAUUAUUAUAUUUUUCUCCAUCAUUUCUCAGGAGCCGUCAUUUUGGAGUAUCUGCAGGGUAUCCACUGUGAUGUGUGAUAAAUUCAUUCCUGUGUUAGUGGAUUCUGAAUGCAAGAGUGGCUAUGGAUAGAUUAUUUCCCAGACAGGAUUGUCUGACCUGAAUCCUACCCCUCUAAUGAAGUCAGAAAGGCAGUUUUUUCUCUGCACUGUGUGGAAACACUCCACAACAAACUCCAUGGCCUCAUCCCAGUGACAGUACCCGUGCCUCCUCUAUAUAGUCACAUUUGUCCCUCUCUGAUUUUACCAAGUGAGCAGGAAAAUAGUGAUGGCGGUUCUAACUCACUAUUGAAGGAGUUACCACUUGACAAAACAUCCAUCUCCUGGGUGAAUGCCUUUACUUUCUAGGACUUCUACCUUGUAACAACUUCUAUGAACUUUCCACCCUCCACGUACUCUCCAGUAGCCCCAAAGUGCCCACCUCCUUCCUUGAUAUGUCACAGUGUUUCUCAGCUUUUCCUGCCAUGGUAUCAGAAGCUGUAGCAUGCAUCAGCUUUCAUUUCUGUGAUGUUUUGUUUGAGUUUCUGAUUUUCACCUUUGUCUCUUUAUGGUGAACUUUUCACAUCCUCUUUCAAGGCCUCUUUUGGCUCUGCUAUAGUCAUAGUUGGUAUCUGUCAAACCCUAAACAAUGAAGCUGUGCUCUUUUCUUGUCAAUGUUCUGCUGUUAAAGAAACAACCAACCAAAAAAACCCCCCAAACCACCAACCCACACUCACACAUAUGCACACAAAAGAUUUAGGGAUUUCCAAACCUCUUUCAAAUCAUUCUGUUUCAUUUGUAUAACAAUUUUUCUGAAAGAUUCAAUGCCUGGUGCUACCAAAUACUUACCCAUGCAUCUUCCCAGAAGACCUAGUAUCCCACAUCUCUUACCUACUGCUCCCAAUAACUCCAGUUCCCAUUUUCAAGAUCAGUAAGAAGCCAGUCUGAAAACUGGAUGCAAAUAGCACUGUAUUUGUCCCUCUGGGAUCAUCAGAGUCUUGACCUCCUUGAAUCUUGCUAACUUUAUAAACUCUUGCAAAAUCCAUUCCUGCAGCAACAAUAAUAAUGUCUAACUUUAACCCUUUCAGCGUCACAGUAGGUUCCAUUAACUUUGGUCAGUUAUGAUUACUUUGCAUUGCAAAGGCUUUUCUAGCAAAAGACGUAGUAGGGUUUUCCAGUGUAAGUGGCAUUGUCACUCAGUGGUUUGCUUCAGCCUUUCCCCCUUCUUUCAUGAUACACAGUUUUCUCUCACUACAAUUGCAUUCAGAUUUAUUGAUCCUUGUACACAAAUGAUCUCUUUUUAUUGAACUUCCUAGUGACUGCUGAGGUUUCCCCAACACAGAAGGACUUCCAGCCUCUUUGUGAACGUUGCAGAGACACUGGAAAAAAGAAUUCAAGAAUCCAGCAUUGUUUGGAAAAGAAGCACCUGUCUCAACUGAAGAGGCAAACAGAGACAUUUCCCAGGAGGUAAAACAAAACACUCUGGCCAAUAGGAAAGCAGAGUUCUUCAUCUACAACUUACCAGAAGUCAAAAUACCUGCUGAAUAUUUGCCUGAAAUAUCUGCUGAAUUCUACCUGAGGGCAACAUUACACAGGGAAGGUACCUUCUGAACUUCUUCCUCAUGAGUGAGGAUGGAUGGAUGGAUGGAUGGAUGGAUGGAUGGAUGGAUGGAGCAAAUGGCAAAAAUAGAAAGAUGGACAGACAUUGGAGAUAACAAGAAAAUAGUGUCAAUAGGAUGGCGGAAGAGAAUAAAAGUUCUAUUGAGAAGGAGUGUAUCCUGUUCUCUCCCCUAAAACUCAUCCUCCUCUGAACUCUGCUACUUUGCUCUUCAUUUUAUGUCUUUGCUCCUUUCUGGUCCCUGGAUUAUCCUGUCUCUGCAGCAAUAUUUAUAUCCUGUCCUUGUAUUCUGAAAGCCCAUUUUGCCUCUGAGAUGAAAGCCCCUUCCUCCUUUCCCUGUAUUGUUUUAAUUCCCUAAAACUCCAUUUCUCAUCAACACUUCUGAGCCCAUUACAUUUCCUAUUCUUCCCACAAGACUCUCUCUUCCUUUCUCUGUAAAAAUUUCUUCUUUUGAAGAUGACAAAUUUGUUUUUUCCUAACCCCCACUGAAACACAUACUCUUUCCCAUUUUUACCUGAUUGCUAUUUUUAUGCAAAUCAUUCCAGCUCCAAUUUUUCCAUCAUAAAAUUAUUUGUUGUCUUCUUCUAUUUCCUGAGUAAAAUCAUAGAGUAAUUUGGGUUGGAAGGGAUCUUAAAGAUUACCUAGUUCUAAUCCCCCACACAGGCAGGGACAUCUUCCAUUAGAUGAGGUUACUCAAAGACCCAUCCAGGCUGGCCUUGAACAAUUCCAGGGAUUGGACAUCUACAGCUUCUCUUCGCAAGCUGUUCCAGUGUCUCACCACCCUCACAGUAAAGAAUUUCUCCCUUAUGUCUCAUCUAAACCCAUUCCCCCUUGUCCUGUCACUACAGGCCCUUGUAAAAAGUCUCUCACCAGCACUCUUGUAGCCCCCUUUAGGUACAGGAAGGGUGCUCUAAGGUCUUUUCCAGGCUGAAUAACCUCAGCUCUCUCAGCCUGUCUUCAAAGGAGAGAUGCUCCAGUGCUCUGAGAGUUUUGUGGCCCUACUUUGGAUGUGCUCAAGCAGGUCCAUGUCCUUCUCAUGCUGGGGCCCCAUGCAGCAUUCAAGGUGGGGUCUCACAAGAGUAGAAGAACAAAAUUCCCUCCCUGGCCCUGCUGGCCACGCUGCUUUGGAUGCAGCCCAGGACACAACUGGAUUUCUGGGCUGCAAGUACACAUUGCUGGGUUAUGUCAAGCUUCUCGUCAACCAACACCCCCAACUCCUCCCCAAGGCUGCUCUCAAUCCAUUUUCUGCCCAGCCUGUUUGUGCUUGGGAUUGCCCAAGCGGUGUAGGACCUGGUGUAGGACCUGGCAUUUGGCCUUGUUGUACUCCAUGAGGUUCACACAGGUCCACCUCUCAUGCCUGCCAACAUCCCUCUGGAUGGCAUCCCUUUCCUCCAAUGUGUCGACUGCACCACAGUGCUCAGUGUCAUCAGCAAGCUUGCUGAGGGUGUGCUCAAUCCCACUGCCCACAUCACUAACAAAGAUGUUAAACAGUCCCAAUACAGGCCCCUGAGGAGCACCACUCAUCACUGCUCUCCACAUAAUAUUUCACUCUCCUGCCCAACCAUCUUGCCCACAAGUUCCCUCUCUCAGGCUCCCUCUCCUCUUCCAAACCCAGCCCUAGAUUCUCCUUUCUACAGGCCCCAUUCUCCUUUCUUCUCUGAGAUCUCCUCCAAGGCUUUCUUUCACCAGCUUUUUUCCCAGACGUUUUCCUCUCUUUCAAAACCCUAAAUCCACCUGCAGAUCUCAUCUUCCAUUUAGUUCACUAAGCCCUUUCCUCACUUAUGCUCAUCUCUUUUCAAGCCUUUUGCUGCAGCAAGGCAAGCCAGGACAUUCAGCAGCUCAUAUUGAGAAGCAUCCACUUCAUCAAUCACAAAAGGAUGUUGACAAUAGUUUCUCAAAGGCUAAGUGAGUCACUGUUUCACUGACACUAUCCCUGCCCAUUCUUGGACAGCUCAUUUAACAAACAAGUGACCAUACCAAGGCAUUUGCUCUACUGACACCAACAGUGAGCAGUAGAGCACAACCAACAGAAGAAGAAGAUAUUCUGAUGGUAAUAUCAGCUAAUACAGCAUUUUGCAGCUCUUUUCCUUUUGAUUUAGAAACCCCCUAUGUUCUAAUAGCACUGAAUGUUUCAUGUGUUUUGUUUCAUCUCUAAGUCCCUCCAGCAAACUGUAAACUUUGUGCUUCAACAAACAACACUAAAAGUCAGUCCAACUUGAACUUACAUAUUGCUACAGAAAUUACAAAGGAUCUUGCACAAAACGAGUAAACAGACUCUGAAUUUUAUUGUAAGACAAAGAUAACAAGCGAAAAGACACCAGCAAGAGGAAGCAGUGUUCCAGUUUAAGAUACGAAGGACGUUUGGAGGACACGCCAUCUAUAUUCAAAAGAAACUGGAUUCACAAGUUUUUAAAAAAUCUGGUAAAAAUAAACCUAAUUCAGUGGAUUAAACCAGACUACUCUGUUCUACUAGCAUUUCUAGGUUGUUUCCAUUCAACAAAGAGGUUUAAUCCAGUUGUGCUCCGCAUGUGUAAAAGAUACAGGUAUUACCUGUUUGAAGUGACGGAGCAGAAUCUGGGGCCACAGCACUUAACUCUAGCAAUUACUGUACAAAACUCAGGAUGAUUCCUGGAUUUGCAUAUAACUUGAAACAGGAUCAAUAAUUUCAGACUUACACACUGCAGGAGAAGUGUGUUGGACUGCAAGAAAAACUUUCUUUUCAUGCGACAAGUGCAACAAAUUGAGUUUGCCAAUCCAUGAUGUUCUUAUUUUGCAUGGGGCUUUAAGAUGUCACCUUUACAGCCAGUCAAGGUCAACGUGAACCAUGACUGUGUCUCUGAGGGUGGAAGUUCAGUCCGUGGGCUGCAUUCCCAAUAAGGCUGAUAGAGUAAACUCAAAUUAAGUCAGUGGGCAGGAAACAGGGCUGCCAUACCUAAAUCCUGAUAUUGCCUAAGGCCAAAGCAGUACAGCUCAGGAGGUGAGGAGGAUUUAGGAACACUGGAUACACCUCUUCUCCCAAGAAAAGUAACUUAUCACCAUCCAGGUUUACCUAGCUUUGGACAGUGCUCUUCUUGAGAAUGAUUUCUAGUGGCAUGCUGGUGAUAUCAGUCACAAAAACCAUGCUUCAAGGAGAAAUUAGUUCCCUUGUGGUCUCUGCUGCUGGAGAUUGCAUCGUCCCUAAGGCAUCAUCAAGUUGCUUCUUGCCCUUCUAAUCUCUCCCCAGCCACAUGCUCUUCCAGUUUCUCUGAAGCUCUGCUGAUUCAGAGUAGCAAUGCAAAUGGAGGAAUAUAUCCCUGGGGAGAAGGGUCAGCUCCCAGCUUGGAAACAGAGCUAAUUUUCAGAUGUCCUUUUUCCCACACGAAGAAGGAGCAUCCGUUCUGCCCCUUCCUCCUCCCUCGCUUCUGUAUAAGAAAAUAAGCAUUAAUAAAUAAGGAUAAUGAAAUUAA